GACGAACCGUGCUAACGUUGUUCGGAAUCACUGGGCUUAAAGGGCGCGUAGGCGGCCAAUCCAGUCGGGGGUGAAAUCUUUCGGCUUAACCGGAAAAGUGCCUUCGAUACUGAUUGGCUCGAGGGAGGUAGGGGCAGAUGGAACUUCCGGUGGAGCGGUGAAAUGUGUUGAUAUCGGAAGGAACGCCGGUGGCGAAAGCGAUCUGCUGGACCUCUACUGACGCUGAGGCGCGAAAGCCAGGGGAGCAAACGGG
rnacentral:misc_RNA from 1 species